rnacentral:rRNA from 1 species
UACGUAGGGUGCGAGCGUUGUCCGGAUUUAUUGGGCGUAAAGAGCUCGUAGGCGGCUUGUCGCGUCGGAUGUGAAAGCCCGGGGACUUGAACUCCGGGUCUGCAGUGGAUACGGGCAGACGUAGAGGUAGGUGAGGGGAGAAGUGGAAUUCCCGGUGUAGCGGUGAAAUGACGGCAGAUAUCAGGAGGAACACCGAUGGCGAAGGCAGGGUCUCUGGGCUGACACUGACGCUGAGGAGCGAAAGCGUGGGGAGCAACAGG